GAAAUGCGAUACUUGGUGUGAAUUGCAGAAUCCCGCGAAUCAUCGAGUUUUUGAACGCAAGUUGCGCCCGAAGCCAUUCGGCCGAGGGCACGUCUGCCUGGGUGUCACGCAUCGUUGCCCCCCCAAACUCCGGUUCGGGCGGGGCGGAAGUUGGCCUCCCGUGCGCGCCUGCGCGCGCGGUUAGCCCAAAAGCGAGUCCUCGGCGACGAGCGCCACGACAAUCGGUGGUUUUUCGACCCUCGUUCCACGUCGUGCGCGCCCCGUCGCCCGAACUCUUGCGACCCUUACGCGUUGCCUCGGCGACGCUACCAACGCGACCCCAGGUCAGGCGGGACUACCCGCUGAGGUUAAGC
rnacentral:misc_RNA from 1 species